AGUGAACGCUGGCGGUAGGCCUAACACAUGCAAGUCGAACGGCAGCACAGUAAGAGCUUGCUCUUACGGGUGGCGAGUGGCGGACGGGUGAGGAAUACAUCGGAAUCUACUUUUUCGUGGGGGAUAACGUAGGGAAACUUACGCUAAUACCGCAUACGACCUACGGGUGAAAGCAGGGGAUCUUCGGACCUUGCGCGAUUGAAUGAGCCGAUGUCGGAUUAGCUAGUUGGCGGGGUAAAGGCCCACCAAGGCGACGAUCCGUAGCUGGUCUGAGAGGAUGAUCAGCCACACUAGAACUGAGACACGGUCCAGACUCCUACGGGAGGCAGCAGUGGGGAAUAUUGGACAAAGGGCGCAAGCCUGAUCCAGCCAUACCGAGUGGGUGAAGAAGGCCUUCGGGUUGUAAAGCCCUUUUGUUGGGAAAGAAAAGCAGCAGGUUAAUACCCCGCUGUUCUGACGGUACCCAAUGAAUAAGCACCGGCUAACUUCGUG
rnacentral:rRNA from 1 species